AGUGAACGCUGGCGGUAGGCCUAACACAUGCAAGUCGAACGGCAGCACAGUAAGAGCUUGCUCUUACGGGUGGCGAGUGGCGGACGGGUGAGGAAUACAUCGGAAUCUACUUUUUCGUGGGGGAUAACGUAGGGAAACUUACGCUAAUACUGCAUACGACCUACGGGUGAAAGCAGGGGAUCUUCGGACCUUGCGCGAUUGAAUGAGCCGAUGUCGGAUUAGCUAGUUGGCGGGGUAAAGGCCCACCAAGGCGACGAUCCGUAGCUGGUCUGAGAGGAUGAUCAGCCAGACUGGAACUGAGACACGGUCCAGACUCCUACGGGAGGCAGAAGUGGGGAAUAUUGGACAAUGGGCGCAAGCCUGAUCCAGCCAUACCGCGUGGGUGAAGAAGGCCUUCGGGUUGUAAAGCCCUUUUGUUGGGAAAGAAAAGCAGCAGGUUAAUACCCAGCUGUUCUGACGGUACCCAAAGAAUAAGCACCGGCUAACUUCGUG
rnacentral:rRNA from 1 species